rnacentral:misc_RNA from 1 species
GUGAGUAAAACCGCAGGGCAUUGUGGGUAAACGAGCCAUGUUUUUGCGGUUGAAUGUGAUGUACGCGAAAGAGUAGCAAACAAGAUUCUGGUUAAACCAUUUGUUUUCCCGUGUGAAGACAGUUCGGUGGGAUCUGUGACGAGUGUCAAACAAGUCGUCCGGACACCAUCGAGAGGAAUUUUCUACGCCAUGUGUGGCCUGCUACGUGCUGUGCUCGGCGGUCGCACUUUUGCUUUUGAUCCGCAGAUUUUGACCUCGUAGUAGUAUCACUUUAGGCCCAGGUGUUGUGUGUUAAUUUGACACCGAUUAAUUUCACCUUCAUGUGAAGUGCGCGAUUCGCUGCUCAUCCGGACGCCUGGGCUGAACUCCGACGUGCAUCCGAUGAGACCAGAAGCCCAACGAUGUCCGAGGUGGAGAGUUGGCCGGGGGUAAUGCCCCUGUGGGGCACGAGAGCUCGUGGGGGCUAACGAGGCCCCGAGCAGGCAGCAUGGCCCAGUGGCCCCCUCGAUGGCGGCAGACGGCCCCCCCCAGUUGAGAGCGGCAUCUCUGCCCCCCUGCCCCCUCGAGGAGGGAACCCCCAGCGCCACGGAGGAGGACGCUGCCGUCUGGCCACAGCAGCAGCAGCACCGUAGUCAUGCAGCAGCAGCUGGUCACAGCAACACCACUACAGGCCCAACACGUGAUCCAGCACCAGAGCUGCUGCAGCGCUCGAAGGAUGAAACGGGUGCAAGCUUUGGUGGCAGUGCUGCUACAAUGGAAGCAGGCGCUCAGGGCAGUGGGAAACCCGGUUAUAUCCCCACUGCUGUACAUGUGCCCCCUGGCUGGCGUCGCUGUCUUGUCGAAGGCAAAAUUGUCUACUAUAGCCCCAGCAACCACCAGCUGCGGAGCCUGGACGAGGUGGCCAGGUACCUGCAGACGGAUGGCGUGUGCAAGUGUGGCCUGGACUGCCCUCUCAACCUUGAGAAGACGUUCAGCUUUGAUGCAGCGGCUCUGUCCCGACCCUGGUCGCCCACUGCCAGCAGCAGUGGCUGCAGGGUGCCUCUCCAUGGCAGAGCUGUGUCAGCGGUUGCCACCCUCACCACCACCACCAGCACCACCAGCACAAGCAGUGCUACAUGCCCAAGUUUGCCCACGUUCAGGUCCCCUUUGCCAACGGCAACAGCCACGGUGGCAUCUCCAUUGGCCAGGCCUGCGAGAAAAGAACCUGUCCGCAAGCGGAGCUCUCGUGCGAAACAGCGUGGCCCUUUUGACGGCGUCCUGGUGUCUCAGUUGUUGGCACAGCGUGACCAGAAUGCCCUACGGAAGCAGGUUGUCAGCAGUUGCGUUCCUGCAAACACAAACACCCCGGUGCAUUACACAAGCAGCAACACUAUCACCGGUGCCGUGCCCUGGCAGGCUACUGGAUACUACCAGCCUCGCCAGGACACUGUGACCAUCCAAUGCAGCAAUACAAAUGUGCAGGGAAGUAGCAGCUUCCCUCCAGUGUCCGGCGGGAUGAGGAGAAUAGUUGCUCAGGCGAUCUGUUCACCUGCCCCUUCGGCACUGCAAACAAGUACCGGUACAAAUUACCAGUGUGCAAACUUCCCCUGUUGCCCAACAAAGCCUUCUGGCACUUCCGCCUCCUCUGGUCGUUCGAGAGGACAGAAGAAACUGCCCCGCACUAGAAUGCCGAAGCUGAGUGCCAUCAUAUCCAGCCGUGCAGUGUGUCCAAAUGUGGAUGUUGGCCAGAUGGUGGCAGCUCCUGGUCACUCAACAACGAACACAUGUCACGGGGCUCGUCAGCACAACUGCUCCACCCACGAUGCUUCUUCCCCUGCUUCCACGCCAAAUGCAAUGGUUGGGCCUUCGAUUGGCCAGUGUACCACUGUGCACAUGGGUAGUACUGGCCAGCUCACCACCUGUAGGACCGCAUCAAAAGAAAUUCCUAUGCAGGUGCCACAGGUGGGGGGGCUGCCAGUCCUGAAUGGAGGUCUGUCCAUGGCGUCAAUUCCUUGCAGCACUGCCAUGACAACUGCUCCUUUUGUCUUCACAAGUGCGCCCAGUGGCGGUGUCAUGAAUCAGGGAAGGAGCACCAUCAUGGUGCAGCAGGUCUACAGCCAGAAAAUGGCCAACUACUCGCCAAACGAGGCUGCCAAGGGUAGCCAGGUGCUUCAACACAUGAGCAGCGUAGUUCUUCCUCCUGGUGCUGGAGGCCUCUCUGCGCAACCCUUGAUCAUGGAAUCUUCACCAACGAUUGUCUCCAGCGGGCCUUUUAUCUCCCAGCUUAGUCAGGGGAUUCUGGGGCAAACACACCAUACUCCCAGUCACUUUUCACCCCAGCAGAGGUUUUCAGAAGUGCCUCGCAGUUGCGCGGAAUGCCCGGUGACCUCCACAACCCUGUGCACAUCCUCGCUGUCUGCUCCCCAGGUUCUGCUCAGUGGCAACCCGAGCUCCAGCAUUGUGCUACCGCAUUCAAACCCUUCCCUGUCAGUUCCCAGUGUAACGACGGUGACAACCUCUGUGGCACAGAUGAUGCCCACAGUGGUGCAGCUCAUCAACCCUCUACCCCUGAACCCGGUGCAGAAUGCGCUGCUCAUCCCGCAGCUUCCAACCCUGCGGCUGGACACCCUGCCCACGUUCGGAGCGCCCGCAGGGCUCUUCAGUCCCGGCAGCACGUUCCUGUCAUCUUCACCGAUCCCGGUUCUUGGCUCGCCAGUGGGUUCAGAAACAUCCCCCAGUUCGUCCCUGCUGGGUCAUGCCACACUGCAGCCGUCCUCCUACGUCGAUUCGGCGGGACAGGUGCGGUCACGCGACACGACGGUAGCUGCGCCUCGGACGUUGGUGACAGCCAGUUUCACACCCGGUACCAUGCAUGCCCUGUCGGCCACCCCUCAUCCACCGCAGCAGCAGUCCUUCUACACAACGGAUGCAGUCAGUGGCAUGGUGCAGACCGGUGCGGUCCAUCACAGCGGCGGUGCUGCUCUGGCUGGUGCGCCUUGCAUGUCCUGUGGACCGGCUCCAGUGACUGAGUCUGUGUGCGACAGUGCCUCCUGUCGUCUGGGCCUGGCCAAUGGGGAUGAUGGCACUUCCAAGGCCAAGUGUGGAGUGGCAGAAGUGGGCCGGGGACCAGUGAACAUGCUGAGUCUGACGGUCUCGAGUCUGCAACAGGCAGGCCUACCCACAGUGACAGUGUUCCCGGCUGGGCAAGCCCCCGUCGUCCAGUCGGCGCCCCUGCUCAACUAUGGAACCCUGCCCUCAGUGAGCCCCCCACAGCUGGUCAUGGGCAUGAUGCCAUCCCUGGGUCUGCUGGGCAUGCCCAUGCACAAUGUUGUCACAGCCCAACCACAGCCCAUCACUGUGCUGCAAGAACGAUGUCAAACCAUACAACAAACCCAGCAGCAGCUGCAGCCUCAACUGCAGCCACAGCCUCAACUGCAGCCACAGCCUCAACUGCAGCCACAACCUCAACUGCAGCCACAGCCUCAACUGCAGCCACAGCCUUCACUGCAGGCGCAGCGUCAACUACAGCCACAACCUCAACUACAGCCACAGCCUCAACUGCAGCCGCAACCUCAGCUGCAGCCACAGCCUCAGCUACAGCCUCAGUUCCAACUACAGCCCCAAGUGCAGUCACAGUUUCAACUCCAGCCUCAGCCACAGUCACAGCCCCAUUUACAGCCACAGCCGAUUACCCAGCCCCCGCUGCAACCGCAGUUGCAUCCACAGGUUGAUUCACAGUUAACAUCACAACCAUCUCCACCGCUACCAUCACCACGACAGAUGGCAUCAGACCAGCACAAGCUCAUUACACCUGUGACACCCAUAGAACCUUCGCAAGAAUCACUGGUAAUGCAGCAUAGUGGCACAAGUGCUGAAGACAGCUCAGAUGCAGAGCUUGAUGCUCCAGUAAUGUGUUUCGAGGCUGAAAGAGAACUGUCAGCGGAGGAGUGCAAGACGGGGUUCUUAAACGACGAAGUGGCAUUUACAACAGCAACAACAGCUGAGGCCAACCUAUCGGCCAGCGAAGAAGAGGCAGAUGAACAGCUGCCAAGGCCUGGCAGUCGGGGCUUUCCAACGCACAUGGACAUGGAUGUGCCAGCAUUUGCAAAUGCAGAUGUGCCAGUGUCUUCAGAAAAUGACUGUACACAUGUGCACAGUGUUGGGGUACAGAGCCUCUCCGUGGAAGCAGGUGAAAGCAGCCCGUCGGUGUCAUCCACCGUUCCCAUCCAGGCAGGACCGACCCAUGAAGUGAGUCGUGCACGUUUUGAGUGGGCUGCUUAUGGAACUGAACAGGAAGGCCACAUAUCGUCCAGCACAGGGACAAGCGACGACCCUGGCUGUGCUGCUUCAGUGGACUUGAGCCAGCUGCAGCCGAGGCAGCAUGAGUGUUCCAGUGAAGAGACCCUGGUGGGGGAAGGGCAGCCUUCCAUGGGAGGGACGAGCAGUAGUGGGGAUUCGGGAGUAGAGUCCAGUCAUGAGUUGCAGCGGACAAACAUGACCUGUGUGCAGUCAUUAGAGAGUGAUGUCAGUAGUGUUGCUAAGCAGAAGGCCAAGAAGGACCCCAAGCGUAGAAGGCGGGAACUGCUUUUCCUUACCCAGGAUGAGUUUAGAGAUGACUCGGCUGCAGAGGAUGAGCGAGAAUCUCCUCCACUGCCUCCACAACCACGCACAUUUGACAUUGGGGACCUGGUGUGGGGCCAGAGCAAGGGCUUUCCCUCAUGGCCGGGCAAACUGGUGCGACCAGACCAAGUGCGGGGCCACCACAUCAUCUCUGAAGAUGGCAAGCUCUGGGUGCAAUGGUUUGGUGACCACACCUUCACCCAAGUGGAGCCGGAGAAGCUGAAGACCUUGUCUGAGGGGCUUGAGGCUCAUCACCGGGCACGCAAGAAGCACCGCAGGGGUCGCAAGCUGAAUGGCAACCUGGAAAAUGCCAUUCAGGAGGCCAUGAUGGAACUGGACCGACAGACUGGCACCGUGCUUCCCUGACCAUCACACCUCCACUUUUUACUGCUGCUGUCAUCACCUUUCAUGUACUGCACUCAAAAUGAGCUGCUGUGCCCUAGCAUGUGCUAGGUCCUGCUUGGCGAUUGUACAGUGGCACCAGAUGGCUUUCUUGCUGAGUUGUAAGGAUUCUUUCGUUAUUCUAUUAGCACUAAAAGCCACCUUUGUACUUGGGUCUGGUUGUUCUACCCCUGAUGUAUUUGAUGCUCAUUAUAACUGACUGAUAUCAACUCGAUAUCUGGCCGCAAGAAAAAUGUGACGGAGCUUGGCAGUACGUUUUGGUAACUGCACAUACUGAGACAAUAGCAUAGGUAAGAGCAAGAUGUCAAAAUUCAUACACUGUUAGAAUCAAGAAAGAGAGUAAGUAAGACAGCAAGAUCAAAGAAAGUGAGGAGUGAUAUCAGAAUGUCGGAACUCUUGUCCUUCUCACUUUAACACAUGCAUGCAAUGUGCCGUUUGGUGCCACUGUCCAAUCAGGAAGCAUGCUUUCUGGCCCGUGCUCGUGGCAUUAAAGCUCAUGCUGAGUGUGAUGGUUCACACACAUACUUGUGCAGCUUCGUUCCCCAGAAGUGUAAUUGCCUCUUGUUUUAGCUGUUUAGCUCCGAGCCAUUCAUUGUUCCCCCACCAGCUUAACUGCAUUUGUUGUCUGCCUCAAGGAGUAUUCACUAAUGUCUUGGGAGAGGAACUGUAGUGCUUCGAGGCUGAUGACAUUGCAUCAGAACAUCUAGAUAUAUUGAUUGAACUAUUUUCUACCCUAGAGCGUCUAGUGUUGCAUGAUGCUAAGGAAGCAGGGGCAGGCACUCAUUCAUCGUGACUAUAAGUUAUGGCAAAAUGAGUUGAGGCCCUGUCGGUCACCUGAGUUGCUUGUGUGGCGUAUGUGAUAAAGCAAAUGCAGUUACCGAGUGAUUUUUUGGAUAUGAAGGGGUCUGCGAAAAUGUCCGAGUAAUGGGGCAGUCCAAAAAAGCAGGAUUUCAAGUGUAAAAUAAUUUUCUUGAUUUAUACAACACAAAGUUUGGCAAAUUUAUUUACAGAAUUUUGCUCGGUGUUCUGCUUUGUGCAAAUAUUAAUAAUAAACUUCGGUUGUCACAAGAGUCGAUGAGCAAGGUUACUGUUUCCUGCCAAAUCAACGAAACUAUCUUUGCAGCAGCUGUUUGGAAUUGGGAAAGCUGGCAAAUCAGCUUGCCAACAAAAGUGAAAGUAUGGGCAGCAACCCGAAUGGCAACAACUUCAACCACGUUUGACAUGUUUGCGACAAUAUGUGCACAGAUCAUGACCAAAAAAUUUAGCAACACACCGAGCCGCAUUCAAAAUUUCACUCUCCUUUAUGCUUUGGUUCUGUGGCAAAAGUUAUGCUGCCUCAGGGAUGUCUGAAUGCUUGAGCAUGUCUGAAAAAUCUGUCGGGGACUGUAGUAAUGCCUCCAGCAAGAGUUAAAUCAUAAGAAAGGGUGCGUAGGGGUGUCACUCCUGUAAGAUGUUCGAGGUUGACUACACUGGGGAUUUCUUGUGCAAACUUUUAUGUAGAUGCAUCAGCCAGCAAAAUGUUGGAGUGUUCUACCAUAACUUCUUUUUAUGGUGACUUUUGAGCACAUCUACCAGGCCGUCAGACAAAUUGUUUCAGUGCUCUUGCUGAACAUGGAAGUCUUACUCAAUUUUUGUGAUGUGCCUAUGAGAAACACUGAAAAAUGUUUUCCUAUUUAUUUAUUUUUAUUAAAGAAAGCUGUGGGCUAGUAGUGAGUUUAAACUGUAUAAGCAUCACUUUAUGAAGUGCCAGCCCUGCUUAAUAUUGUCUUAAUUUAUUCCCUUUAUCAACGUUGGAUUUUUGUUUCAUUUUAGUCAUUGUUGCAAGCUGCUGUGUUUCAACUACAUUUGAAUUCUGGUGUAAAAAGAAAAAUAUUUUAUAGCUGGUGCAUUAUCAGCCAGUCAUAGCUCCAGGUUCUCCCCAAGACAUUAUUGAAGACUCUGUGUUCAUUCCCCUCCCUCUCCCCUCCAAUCCCACAUCCCGUUGCUUUCAAUAUGUAGCUUGUAGAGAAAAGGUUGAGCUUGCUACACAUCUGUACAGUAGAGAUUUUGAGAGAACGACAAGUUGAUGAAUAUAGAGAAGGAGUAAGAGAAAACUAUGAAGAGUGGAGAUCUUUUUAUACAGAAGCUAUAUAAAUAUAUAUAUAUACAUAUAAAUAUAUAAAUAUUAUAAAUAUUAUAUAUAUAUUAUAUAUGACAGCGUUGCUGUUGACGUUUGCUGUUCGUCGUUUGUUCGGUCAUUCUUUUUAACCUUUUUUUUUUUUUUUGUCGCAGGACACCCACUUUCCCUGUUUCAACCCCCCCCCCCCCCCUACAUAAACUUCCUGCCUGUUGAGGACAGUUGGUCCUAAAAAUUGUUUUUACAUUUUACAUUUUUCCUGCUGUGAGAUUGAAUGAUGUGUUGAAGGUGGUCAGAGUGAUGCUCAGUGCUGGAUUUUGCUUGUUUUUGGUUUAGCUUUUCGUGCAGAAGUAUACUAAUCUUAAGGUGGUUGAUUCCCCCUGCUUUUUGUGUCGGAGGCUUGCUGAAGAGUGUGACAGAGAGGGGCAGCCAUAAGUUGUACUUGAGCUCUGCCAGUAUGCGGAUUUUUUAAAUGUGGUGUUGCAGCCUUUCUAAAUUGCCCUUGAAAUUUCUCUAAAUUGCAGCAUAUUCUCAAUGAGAACACCACCGGCUGCUUGGGAUAAAAGUAACUUGAUUUUGCAUGUGCAAAGAAAAGUAGUUGAGAGCAAGUAAACAUUUGAUUUGUGCUUUAGGGCUUUGCAGCCAUGAUCAAUAUGAGAGGGAACAAUGAAAUCGUUUUGAAUCAGCAAUUGCUCACAAUAUAGGAUAUUCAAACAUGAUGUGUAAACAUAUACCAAAUAGCUUUUACAUUUGGACAUUUUGUCUCGUAGAACUUAUAUAUGUUCGACUCAGUUGUUGAAUCACUGUUAGCUGUUGAAUGAAAAUUGGGGUGUUCCUUAUCAGAUAUAUUGCUUACGGAGAUGCAUUUGGCAUCUGAUAUUGACGGGGCAUGAUAGCUUGGAAGAAGCUGAAUAUUUGUACGGUGGGAACAAACAAUGCGGAAAUUAGGUUUGCAGUCAUGACUAGCACAUAGGGUUGAUGGAGUUAUGUGCUUUUUCACUGGCUGCAAGUGAAAACUACAUGGUGAUAAAGCUUUCUUUUGGAAAACCCACACUUCAUAAACGUUUCAUACCGGCUUUACAGUUGGUGAAAUGCAUCCAAAAAACCAAUUGAAUCGUACAGUUCCCAAAAAUGUAUGAAAUUUCCUGCUUUUAUCUUGCACCAAAUUUUUUCACGAAUAUGCUGGCGCUCAAUAUUUUGUCUCAAAUAUAGUUCACUUUCGCCUUACUCCAAAAUAAAAGUGCAGUUUAUUUCUAGCCAGCAAAAUAAGGCCACUGUGACUGCGGCAUUGACAAGUAGUCCUUAUCUGUGGCAUUAUUGGUGCAAAUUGCAAGGAUAAGUGCAGCUCAUUAUCAGGAGGUAAAGGGUUCAGCUUCAGGCUACGAAUAGAGUGAUGGCAUUGGGAUACCAAAGUAAUACGCACAGCUGUGUUUUUGAUGCUAUCAAAUUCAUUUUGUUGCUGAAAUGCCAUCCUGGUGGUCCACUACGUUAAGGCUGCACCUUAGAGGGUGUAAGGCUCGCACCAUAUCUUAUUGUAGCUGAGUAACGAGUCGUUUGUGUCAUGCGAGGAAGCCGAACAACCAGGACACGUGAGAGGCUUGUGGGGAAGACGAACAUCAAGGUGUUCGAGAGAGUCUAGAGUCGCCCCACACACAGUUAAAAAAAUGUUGCUGCUAUCCCACGUUGCACCAUUUUCUGAAAGUUUUGUCACUUUAGUGCUUAGCUAUUUUUGCAUUACGUUGCUCAUUUAUAUCUAAUUACACCAAACUCUUAAGCAAAGAUACUGUGAAGCUCAUCAUUUUUCAAAUUGUGGUACUUAAUUAAGAUUGAAUUGUCUUUAGGCUAAUGUAAUUGAAAAUGAGUGUUGCUACUAAAUGACUUGAGUCGAAGGUAGUCUUCUUAGUACAUCAGUGGUGUGAUCAGUUUUGAAUGAAUAGUUUCAUCCUAAAUUUGCUGUGGGGAUAUAAUCCACACAGCAUGCUGCACAGUGAGCAGGCUUAGUAAAACACCACUGGCCACAAAUCUUUUAAGUCAUACUUUUCACAGCUACAUCAGAGAAGAACUACUGCUCUCACUUUUCAGUAUUGGCUUUCUUAUUUGGAGUCACAUGUUGGACAUAAGCACCAAUGUGCACAUGUUUCACUGGCAUUCAGUGUUGGUUCACUUGAGUGGCAGCCAUGUUUUCACCACAUCCACUUUUUCGGUGUUGGUGCUUCCAUGUUACACUGUGCAGUGAACAUAGUGUAAUUUCUGCUGAAUUGUGUUACAUGCUGCUACCGGUGAAAAUAAAUGCCCCGUGAUACAUAUUAUGGCUUGAAAACAGCACUGUUAUCACGCAGCAUAAAAUGGACACACUGAUGUUUGGAAUGUGGCGCAAAAAAAAGCAUUGAAAUGCAUUCACUGUGGUUGCUGCUUAAACUUGAAUCUCAAUUUCUGACAAGGUUUCUGCCUUGCUAAAAGCUUUGUUGAAAAUGACUUAGUGAUGCCUUUAAAGUGGCGGUAAUGCGAAGUUUUGACGCCUUGAUGUCUGCUUUACUUUUUAUUGAAUAAUGAAUUCACUGUCAUUAGGCAGAGCAGUAAACAUAAUAGUAUGCACCGGUGGCCUCAUAUGAUUUCUACCCUAAAAUUUAGCGUUGGUUUGUGAUGGCAAGGAUUAAACUGUAACAUCUUUUGUAGGUAUGGGACAUUAGGACAGAGGUGUCAGAGGUGAUAUCAGUUAACACAACUGUGACCGCAGACUACCCUGUUGCCCGCUCAUCUCCAUGAGGGGUCAUGCCACCUCAUAUUAUUUCACACCUUGAAAUGAUGAUGCAGUUGCAACGCUAUCAGCAAGUUCCACAGUUUGAGCCAGCUCAGAUUCCACAUCUUUGAAACAGAAUUGUCAAAUCAAUCUUUGAAACUAAUCUCAGUGCCUCUUCACUCAGCUAAGUUCAUUCUUGUUUUCAUAAAGUUUGAGUGCAGCUGGUAGGGACAUGUUGCUUUUUUUCACAGGUGCAUGUCUUAGUAUUUGUUACCAAGGUUUUACUGAGUGAUGAUCAUAGGCGCUGUGUGAGUCAGAAAUGCGAGAAGUUACUGUCAUCUUGCUUUAUUUUUAUCAUAUAUAUUUUUUUUUCAUGUCUGCUCUACUAGUGCUGUCCCGAGUGCCAUGAAUUGCCGUUCGUAACCAAGUCCUGACAGUACUUCGUUUUAGUCAAUCUCUGCUCUUCACCGAAACAGGUGGCCACCCUCUGUGCUGCUUUCUUCACUGACUCCUAAACCUUGACAUCAGGACUGAAGCAGUACCUGUGGGAAAGCAUGUUGAUGGGAGAUGUUGUGCGAAUAGUUGUAUGUUUGACCUUUCUGUGACGUUUUUUUUUAACCGAGGGAUGGGUCGGUUGGAACUUGGUUGUUGAGCCUCUUGGCAUGUGGUUUUGUUUUCGUAGCCAGCUGUUUCUGUUUGUUUGUGGAUUCUACACAGGGACUGCAACUGAACUGCACAAUAGGGCUUCCCAGCUCUGCACAUGCCGCUGUGUGCACACAUACUGUGCACACAUACCAUGUUUUGAAAGAGGUUUGCUUUUUUUUUUUCACAUCCUUUUUUUUUUUUUCCUGUUCUGUUCUUUCUCUGGCAGGAAUGUUGGAAGUGAGAUGCUAUUUUGUUUUACACAGUACAACAAUAAAAAGAGAUGGAAAGCAA